GGUGGCAUAGUAUAGUGGUCAGUACAGCUCGUUGUGGCCGAGCAGACCUCGGUUCGAUUCGUAUGUCCUCU
rnacentral:tRNA from 1 species